rnacentral:tRNA from 1 species
CAGAGAAUAGUUUAUUUAAAAUAUUAGUUUUGGGGAUUAAUGAAGAGAUUUAUUUUCUCUUCUCUGA